UACGUAGGGGGCGAGCGUUGUCCGGAUUUAUUGGGCGUAAAGAGCGUGUAGGCGGUUCGGUAAGUCUGUCGUGAAAUCCUGAGGCUCAACCUCGGACGUGCGAUGGAUACUGCCGGGCUAGAGGAUGGUAGAGGCGAGUGGAAUUCCCGGUGUAGCGGUGAAAUGCGCAGAUAUCGGGAGGAACACCAGUAGCGAAGGCGGCUCGCUGGGCCAUUCCUGACGCUGAGACGCGAAAGCGUGGGGAGCGAACAGG
rnacentral:rRNA from 1 species